ACUCCUACGGGAGGCAGCAGUGGGGAAUAUUGGACAAUGGGCGAAAGCCUGAUCCAGCCAUGCCGCGUGUGUGAAGAAGGUCUUCGGAUUGUAAAGCACUUUAAGUUGGGAGGAAGGGCAGUAAGUUAAUACCUUGCUGUUUUGACGUUACCAACAGGAUAAGCACCGGCUAACUUCGUGCCAGCAGCCGCGGUAAUACGAAGGGUGCAAGCGUUAAUCGGAAUUACUGGGCGUAAAGCGCGCGUAGGUGGUUCAGCAAGUUGGAUGUGAAAUCCCCCCGGGCUCAACCUGGGGAACUGCAUCCAAAACUACUGAGCUAGAGUACGGUAGAGGGUGGUGGAAUUUCCUGUGUAGCGGUGAAAUGCGUAGAUAUAGGAAGGAACACCAGUGGCGAAGGCGACCACCUGGACUGAUACUGACACUGAGGUGCGAAAGCGUGGGGGCAAACAGGAUUAGAUACCC
rnacentral:rRNA from 1 species